CUAAUCCUCUCUCUCUCUCUCUUUUGGCAGGCAUCACCACCAGCAUGGAGCGAAACACCAAAAUUAAGCUGGGAAUUCUGGCUAUUGUUGUUGUGUGCAUUUGUUUCAUCAUCAUUGUGAGCGUGGUUGCCCAUCCCACGUCCAACCAGGAUACAAAAAGUAAAGGUCACGAAGGCAUUAUUCCUGAAACCCCAACCACUCCUCCAGAAAUUGUACCUAACAAUGAAACAAUUAAUAUUACACAGAAUGACAUUACCACCACCGCCACCAGUGUGAGUCAGGCAAGGGGCAUGAUUGAAAUGAUGGACAGUACUCAGGAGGCUUGUGAGAAUUUCUACCAAUACGCCUGUGGAGGAGAGAUGAGCAAGUCAUACAUCCAGGCGAGGCAGCCUGGCACCAUGGCAAGGAUGAUGAUCAAAGAGGAGCUGGAGAAGCAGAGCAGCAGCGACAGCAGCACUGGCGCAGGCAAAAUGAAGGCUUUGUAUGACAGCUGCUUCAACUCAGGGAGUCAGGACGCCAACAAGGACCGGGCUAAACCUAUCAGGGACUUGUUUGGUGUCUAUAAAUUCCGUGCCGACAAAAGCUUUAUCUUUGACCUGAGUGACGCUUUGGGCUACAUGAUGAAUAAAGGAUUCAUGCCGUUCUUCACCAUGGAGCUUGAUAUCGAUCCUAAGAACAAAGAGGCCUUCAUGUUGAGCCGACAUCCCACUGUGCCCGGCUCACGUUUCACUGAAGAUUUGGCCAGGAAGGUUUGCCUGGAGAGACACUAUACCUACCUCCAAUCCCUGGGCAAUUCCUCCUAUACUGUUAAUGAAGAAUAUGAAAAAUUUAGAAAGUGUGUGGGAAGUGGGGAUGGACUGGAGGCAAGACUGGUCAGAAUGAAGGAUGCUGUGGUUCAGCUGCAACUCAUGAACCACCUGACUGAUGAGGUGGCAGAGAAAUUGUUGUCUGAAACUAUAAGCAACACAAGGAAGUUCUUGAUAGAGCUUUCUGAAAUGCAGUCCUACCUACCAGACCUCAUCUUAGACCUUGCUAACUGGAACAUUCAUUCCACUGAUUAUGUCACUGAUCUUCCUAACACGCCUAUCAACUGGGAGACAGUGCUCAAGAAAUUUCUCAACAUUGAUUAUGCAAACAUUGAAACGUACAGAGUUUCAAAGUACCAGGGCUUGGAUAUUGUGAUAAAGGUGUUGCAAGACUACUAUGAAUUAAGCCAACAAGAAAUGAACAACAUCCUGGUGCUGUUGUGGGCCGAGCGUAUCUACACAGACUUUGUAAAGCCGGUGGAGACCAGUGUGGGGAAUCCAGAGUACUGUCUCAAUGCUGCCAUUGCCCUCAUGGAAGACACCGCCUCCUAUCUCUACCUGCAGGCUGUGGCUCCAGACAUCAAAGCUCGCAAUGCACAGAUUGACACGAUUGCAGAGAACAUCAAGAGGGAAGCACUGAGGUUGAUGGAGAACAGUACUAGAAAGGAAGACCUCCAGGACAAGCUGAAAGACAUGAUGGACAAUGUGGUUAAACUCAACAAAGUAAAUGAAGACAUAUCCACAAGUAGCAUGGAGCAGGUCAGCCUGAAUGGUGACUUCCUACACAACAGCCUGGUGCUCCUUGCCCAUCGCAGCACUCUCACCAAGAAGUUCUAUGAUGAAGGCCCAUCUUAUAAUUACAGGGUGUUUGCACGUCCCUAUGACCCAUCUGGUUUCUACAGCUACCCACUCAACAGAAUCAUGAUCCCAUACGCUGCACAGGAACCCUUCCACACACUCAACAAGAUGCCAGAAUACCUCCAGUACGCCACCGUGGGUUACCGAAUCAGUCACCUCUUGUGGCAUGGCUAUGAUACCUCAGGAAAAGCCUACACUGUAUCUGGCCAAAAAAGUUUAAGGGAUAUGGCAACACUGCACAAAAACCUCAAGAACAGUUAUAUUGGUCCAAGAAGCUACACAAACCACAAAGGUCUCACAGCAAACUAUAAUAUGACUGACCUGACACUCAAUGAAAUUUGGGCCGACACGAAGGGAAUUGACUUGGCAUGGCAUGCUUACAUCAACAGGAACCCAGGUGAGACACCAAUAACAAAGCCAGAGAUCUAUGAAGAUGGUAAAUAUUGUCAUGGUGGUGGUGGUAGUGUGACUUCAAAGCCAGCCAGACAUCGCCUCAGAGCCAUCCAGGAGCCACUGUACUCUCCAGAACUGGACCUUUCAUCCCUUAACAUGUCCCCUGAACAGUUGUAUUACCUUCAAUGGGCUCAGCAAUAUUGCAGUGACACCAAUGAUCUGAGAAUGCUGGAAGUGAUGGAAAGCAGACAGCCACCUGACAUAGAGAGGGUGAAUUAUGUGACGCGAAUGAGUGAAGGGUUCCGUAAGGCAUUCCAGUGUCACUUAUAAGAGAAGUGAUGGGGCCAAGCACUGACCCUUGUGGAACUCCACUGGUUACCUUCUUCCACUCGGACUUCCUUCCCUUCACCACUGUUCGCAUUUCUCUUCCCACUAACCGGAGACGAGCCGUCCUCUCUCAGCGACAGCGACGACGUGUGUGUCUGUGUGUGUGUGUGUGUGCUACUGACGAUUUUUGAAAAGGAUAUACAGUCACGAAUCCUUACUAAAGCCAAAAACCUGUGAGAGAUUUGGCAUCUAUGAAUGAGUUACCUGGUAUGGAUAUCUCUUAUCCUGUCAUUGAUGAUGAUGUGGGUCAUAUGAAUGAUAACGCAGAACUUUAUCAGCAAUAUGCAUGGAUGGUAAGCUAGUUGUGCUGAAAAAUCUCAAAACUCUGUAGAAACACUUCAUUAGUGGUAAGACUUCGGAAACGUGACACAUGGGUGUCAGAAUUAGAUACCUGCAUUGUGUCUCCCUGUCUGGUAAAUCAUAUUCUCGACUUUGCUGUAAUUAGGAGAUUAGAUCUUCCUUCUGACCACAACCCCAUCAGUAUUUCUUUGAAUGACCCAGGGAUACACUUGGAUAAUGUGUUGACCAGGGCUGCCUUGCUGGGAGACCACGCUGUGCUGCAUGGCAGUGUGGCGAGGUGUGACCUGGCAAGGGGACCUGUGAAAUUCUCUGAUAUAGAUAAGUGUAUGUUUGCUGUUAACGUUGCAAGUAUGGAUGUACCUAGAGAUGUUAAUGAUACCAAUGUUUUUGCUAAGGGCGUGUCGGAUCCUCUGUACGACUGUGCUCGGAAAAGCAGGCAAACGAGUGAAGCAAAUGUAAACCAGAGUGAGGUAGGUGGGACAGGCUUUUAAAUGAUGUGGAUGAUGCUAGAGUAUAGAACGCCAUUAGUUGGAAGGGUGACUUUGAGAUGUCAGGGAGUAGUUCAACGGAUCUUCCUAGUGAUGAGUUUAAGCGACACUUUGAAGGUGUGUUGAACCCCCUCCCGAUUGCACCACCAACCCACGUCAGUACAGUUGUAAUAAUACUGGUGUUGGAUGAUCCUAUCUCACCCGUAUUGAGCACAUUGUUGCUUUACGCCUGCUAACAAAUAUUGCUCGCAGAGAGAAGCAUAAGCUAUUUGUAACCUUUGUUCAUUUUAGUAAAGCUUAUGAUGUGGUCCCUCUUGCCAAAUUGUUUGUAAUUUUAAAGUGUAUUGGGUGGGGUAUGUUAAUGUUGGCUGCGUUGGUAGCUAUGUAGUGUCACUGAGUCGGUGAUUGGAAGUACCGUUAUGACCGCCACGUUAGGGGUUCAUCAGGGCUCGCCUACGUCUUGUCUGUUAUUCACUGUGUUUAUGAAUGAGCUUAUCAGGAAGCUCAAGUGUAGUUGCGAGUCCGACGGGUUCCAAGACUGGCUUCACACACCAGUGUUAAUGGAUGACACAGUGUUGCUAUCCACAACCAGAGAAGGCAUGAUAAACAAAAUUACGAUUCAAAAAACUUCUGCAGUAAUUAUGGCAUGAUUAUCAAUGCAUCAAAGACCAAGUUGUAUGUUAUUGAUGGUUCACAAGAGGAGACAGAGCCGGUUAAUUAGUUAUCAGCCCCUGCACGACAUACAUGUACCUUGGAUCGCCCUUCACAAGUGACAGGUUUGCUUUGUCCGCUUUGAAAUUACAUGCAAAAGAUAAGUUAUGUCAUGUACUCAAAUUUGUUUCAUUUGUUAAAAAGAAUAAUGAUGUCCCUUUCAUUGUCAAACGAAGGGUAUUCCAGGCAGCAUUAAUGUCAUCAUUGCUUUAUGGCUGCAAAUCAUGGGUGGGGGCUGAUCUUCAGCUUAUUGUCAAAACUCUAUAAUUGGGCACUAAAGCAUCUAUUGGUAGUGAGGAAAUCCACCCCAAAUGACGUAUGUUACACCGAGAUAGGAUACCCAUCAUUACCAGACUUGGUGAAUUUCAGCCAACAAAUUUUUCUCAAAAAUGCAAUUAGAAAGGUCGGAGUUGCCAGAUGAUCCCUUGAUUUUUUCAAUUGAAAUAGCUACUAGAAGCAACUCCACAUUAAGCAGGACUAUUCAAAGAUUUAAAGAUACAAAUGUACCAGACAUGAAUCAUUUAAUGCAAAAUGUAUAUGAGCACAUCACAGCGUCUACUGGCUCAAGGUCUGAAGUGUACCGACAUUUGCAUCCCAAUUAUAUGCUUCAUGGUUUAUACAGGCAACCCCUGCUUAACGAAGGGGUUUCGUUCCUAAAAAACCCUUCGUUAAGCGAAACUUCGUUAAGCGAACCGAUUAUAGCAAGUUUAACUCCUGACUUGAACUUCCAUCGAGAGUAAA
rnacentral:misc_RNA from 1 species